GAUGAACGCUGGCGGCGUGCCUAAUACAUGCAAGUCGAGCGAACAGACGAGGAGCUUGCUCCUCUGACGUUAGCGGCGGACGGGUGAGUAACACGUGGAUAACCUACCUAUAAGACUGGGAUAACUUCGGGAAACCGGAGCUAAUACCGGAUAAUAUAUUGAACCGCAUGGUUCAAUAGUGAAAGACGGUUUUGCUGUCACUUAUAGAUGGAUCCGCGCCGCAUUAGCUAGUUGGGAAGGUAACGGCUUACCAAGGCAACGAUGCGUAGCCGACCUGAGAGGGUGAUCGGCCACACUGGAACUGAGACACGGUCCAGACUCCUACGGGAGGCAGCAGUAGGGAAUCUUCCGCAAUGGGCGAAAGCCUGACGGAGCAACGCCGCGUGAGUGAUGAAGGUCUUCGGACCGUAAAACUCUGUUAUUAGGGAAGAACAAAUGUGUAAGUAACUAUGCACGUCUUGACGGUACCUAAUCAGAAAGCCACGGCUAACUACGUG
rnacentral:rRNA from 1 species